rnacentral:rRNA from 1 species
UGGACGAGAUAUAAGCUGUUUCAUUUAAAAUUUAUAUAGAAUUUUAUUUUUUAGUUAAAAAGCUAAAAUAUGAUCAAAAGACGAGAAGACCCUAUAAAUCUUAAUUAUUUAAUAAUUUUUAAUUUAUUUUGGUUUUUUUUGUUAUAAAUUUAUUAAAUAAUUUUAUUGGGGUGAUAUUAAAAUUUAAAUAACUUUUAAUAAUUUUUGUCAUUUAUUUGUGAUUAAGUGAUCCAUUAUUAGUGAUUAAAAAAUUAAGUUACUUUAGGGAUAACAGCGUAAUUUUUUUGGAGAGUUCUUAUCGAUAAAAAAGUUUGCGACCUCGAUGUUGGAUUAAGAUUCAUAUUUAAAUGUAGAAGUUUAAAUAUUAAGUCUGUUCGACUUUUUAUUCUUACAUGAUCUGAGUUCAAACCGGUGUAAGCCAGGUUGGUUUCUAUCUUUGAUUUAAUAAAAUAUUUUAGUACGAAAGGAAUUAAUAUUUAU